UGAGGAAUAUUGCACAAUGGGCGAAAGCCUGAUGCAGCAACGCCGCGUGGGUGAUGAAGGCCUUCGGGUCGUAAAACCCUUUUCUGGGGAAAGAGUAAGGACGGUACCCCAGGAAUAAGGUUCGGCUAACUACGUGCCAGCAGCCGCGGUAAAACGUAGGAACCGAGCGUUAUCCGGAUUUACUGGGCGUAAAGCGCCUGCAGGCGGUCACGUAAGUUGGAUGUGAAAUCUCCCGGCUUAACUGGGAGGGGCCAUUCAAUACUGCGCGACUAGAGGGCAGAAGAGGGAAGUGGAAUUCCCGGUGUAGUGGUGAAAUGCGUAGAUAUCGGGAGGAACACCAGUGGCGAAGGUGGCUUUCUGGACUGCUCCUGACGCUGAGAUUCGAAAGCCAGGGGAGCAAACAGGAUUAGAAACCCCGGUAGUCCUAGCUGUAAACGAUGCGGACUUGGUGUGGGUGGCUUAAACUCCAUCCGUGCCGUAGCUAACGCGAUAAGUCCGCCGCCUGGGGACUACGACCGCAAGGUUA
rnacentral:rRNA from 1 species